rfam:Ornithorhynchus anatinus chromosome 2, whole genome shotgun sequence.
AGCAGCGUGGCCGAGUGGAAAGAGCAUGGGGCUGGGAGUCAGAGGAUCUGGGUUCUAAUCCCAGCUCUGCUU